GACGAACGCUGGCGGCGUGCCUAAUACAUGCAAGUCGAACGCAGUGGGGACGGGUGAGUAACACGUGGGUAACCUCCCCAUCCAAGGGGAUAAAACAUGGAAACAGGUGCUAAACCGAUACUGAUGGAUGGACCCGCGGUGCAUUAGCUCGUGGGUGGGGUAACGGCUCACCAAGGCCACGAUGCAUAGCUGACCUGAGAGGGUGAUCGGCCCAACUGGGACUGAGACACGGCCCAGACUCCUACGGCAGGCAUCAGUAGUGAAUCUUCGGCAAUGGACGAAAGUCUGACCUAGCAACGCCGCGGGAGUGAAGAAGGUUUUCGGAUCGUAAAACUCUGUUGUUAGAGAAGCGGUAUCUACCCAGAAAGCCACGGCUAACUACGUGCCAGCAGCCGCGGUAAUAC
rnacentral:rRNA from 1 species